GGAUAUGAGGGUGAUCUGGCAGCAACACCUGUCACCCCAUUGAUUGCCAGUCCUGAUUCCCUUGAUCUGGCUGGCUAGGCGGGUGUCCCCUUCCUCCCUCACCAGUCCAUGUGUGUCCCUCCUUAAGCUGCACACUCAGUUGAAGAGAAGAUGACGACCUUCCCUGAAUAGAGGAAGACCAGUCUUCAGUCAAGGGUACAGGAGUAGCUGAGCUCCCCUGCUAGAACCUCCAGACAAGCUCAAGGCCAAACUCUUAAAAAAAAAAAUAAUGAAUUUCUUGUCUGAGCCAUUCAACAGUUUUCCUUU
rnacentral:snRNA from 1 species